UCCCCUAUGGUCUAGCGGUUAGGAUUCCUGGUUUUCAAUCAGGUGGCCCGGGUUCAACUCCCGGCAUGGGAA